rnacentral:rRNA from 1 species
AGAGUUUGAUCCUGGCUCAGGACGAACGCUGGCGGCGUGCYUAAUACAUGCAAGUCGAGCGAAUCUUAAGGUGCUUGCACCUUUUGGUUAGCGGCGGACGGKUGAGUAACACGUGGGCAACUUGCCUGUAAGACUSGGAYAACUUCGGGAAACCGGAGCUAAUACCGGAUAAUCCUUUUCCUUUCAUGAGGAAAAGCUGAAAGUCGGUUUACGCUGACACUUACAGAUGGGCCCGCGGCGCAUUAGCUAGUUGGUGAGGUAACGGCUCACCAAGGCGACGAUGCGUAGCCGACCUGAGAGGGUGAUCGGCCACACUGGGAYUGAGACACGGCCCAGACUCCUACGGGAGGCAGCAGUAGGGAAUCUUCCGCAAUGGACGAAAGUCUGACGGAGCAACGCCGCGUGAGCGAUGAAGGCCUUCGGGUCGUAAAGCUCUGUUGUUAGGGAAGAACAAGUAUCSGRGUAACWGCCGGUACCUUGMCGGUACCWAAMCAGAAAGCCACGGCUAWCUACSYSCCAGCAGYCGCGGUWA